AUAUUCCGACAGGGGAGCGCCACAGCGCUGAGAGUGCGGCACAUGUCCGUGAGAGAGCGGACAGUGGUCGCAGACCCUCUGAACCUUGCCCAGGUCAUUCUGGGUAGGAAGUUCGGACAUCACUCAAG
rnacentral:ncRNA from 1 species